GAAAGUUUUAGUUGAGCCAUAAAGUUAAUUUUAACAUAUAGUAGUAUUUGAUUCUAGUACAUUUGAAUUAAUUAAUUCAUUAAAUUAUAUGGACAAUUUUUAAUUUUUUUUACUUUCCAGUAAUUAAUAUUAUAUAAUUAAUUUAGGUUAGAUUUAGGUAUUGAAUUAUAUUAGAUUAAAAUUGUGCCAGCAUUCGCGGUUAUACAAUUUAAUAAAAUUAAUUUUAUGGGGGUUUAUUUUUUUUUUAUUAUUUUGGAUUUAAAAUUUUAUUAUUUAGGUGGAAUUUGUUUUAAAGGUUAAUUUCAAUAAAAAAUUAUAAGAAAUUUUAUUAAUAAACUAGGAUUAGAUACCCUAUUAUAAAUUACGUAAAAAUAUUACCCUGAAUAGUAUUAGUUAUGUUCUUUAAGGCUCAAAGAAUUUGGCGGUAAAACAUUCUUUUUAGAGGAACCUGCAAUUUAAUUGAUAAACCACGAUAGAUCAUACUUAAUUAAUAUUUGUAUACCUCUAUAUUUUGGAAUGUUUUUAGAGAAUAUUUUCUUUUUCUUAUGAGUUUUAUAUUAGGUCAAGGUGCAGUUUUAAUUAAGUUUUUGUGGGUUACUAUAAUUAUACAUAAUUAGGAAUUAUAUUGGAAGAAUUUAAUAGAAUUAGGAUUUAAUAGUAAAUUUAAUUAAUUUAUUAAUUUGAAUUUUGCUCUGUUUUAUGUACAUAUCGCCCGUCACUCCUAAUUAUAAUUAGGAUAAGUCGUAACAAAGUAAUUUUACCGGAAGGUGAAGUUAGAAAGAA
rnacentral:ncRNA from 1 species